ensembl:lncRNA
AUGGAACUGCUCAGUAUUUCACAAUUCAGUAAAAAUAAUGACCUCACAAGAACUACUCACCAGCCCUGUUCCGCAUCAUUCCUCUGCGAGGCGUUUACACUUCUGAGGCCACCUCCAAAACCUUACGUAUACAAUAUUAAUUUUUGCCACAUCUGGGAACCGCUGGAUGUUAAGGGAACAACCCCACUCUGCUCCGUGAGUUCCCUGUGGACGUUAGCGGCUUUUCUGGGUGAUCUCAUGGAGCCUUGUGACUUCACCUGCAGCCUCUGGUCCCCAAGGCCCAGGCCUGAGCUCUCAUCCUUAUGCUCUGCAGUGGGAAUGAGUCUGUGGAGAGGGGGCUUCCUGUGA